CGCGUGGGUAACCUGCCUUGUACUGGGGGAUAGCAGCUGGAAACGGCUGGUAAUACCGCAUAAGCGCACAAUGUUGCAUGACAUGGUGUGAAAAACUCCGGUGGUAUAAGAUGGACCCGCGUCUGAUUAGCUAGUUGGUGAGAUAACAGCCCACCAAGGCGACGAUCAGUAGCCGACCUGAGAGGGUGACCGGCCACAUUGGGACUGAGACACGGCCCAG
rnacentral:rRNA from 1 species